rnacentral:snoRNA from 1 species
CACCUCCUCUCUACAUCCAGCCCAGUGACGCCAUCACUGGUUGUUGGUGGAGGUUUGCGGAGGGAGAGCAGAGCAGUGGUAUUACCCAUUCCACCCCCUGCUGCAACAUAGCUCUGUGGUGGAAGAAAUCCCUGCUACAAAC